GAUGAACGCUGGCGGCGUGCCUAAUACAUGCAAGUCGAGCGAAUGGAUUAAGAGCUUGCUCUUAUGAAGUUAGCGGCGGACGGGUGAGUAACACGUGGGUAACCUGCCCAUAAGACUGGGAUAACUCCGGGAAACCGGGGCUAAUACCGGAUAACAUUUUGAACCGCAUGGUUCGAAAUUGAAAGGCGGCUUCGGCUGUCACUUAUGGAUGGACCCGCGUCGCAUUAGCUAGGUGGUGAGGUAACGGCUCACCAAGGCAACGAUGCGUAGCCGACCCGAGAGGGUGAGCGGCCACACUGGGACUGAGACACGGCCCAGACUCCUACGGGGGGCAGCAGUAGGGAAUCUUCCGCAAUGGACGAAAGUCUGACGGAGCAGCGCCUCGUGAGUGACGAAGGCUUUCGGGUCGUAAAACUCUGUUGUUAGGGAAGAACAAGUGCUAGUUGAAUAAGCUGACACCUUGACGGUACCUAACCAGAAAGCCACGGCUAACUACGUACCAGCCGCCGCAGUAA
rnacentral:rRNA from 1 species